UACGUAGGGAGCAAGCGUUGUCCGGAAUCAUUGGGCGUAAAGCGCGCGUAGGUGGCCUCAUAAGUCCGCUGUGAAAGUCAAAGGCUCAACCUUUGAAAGCCGGUGGAUACUGUGCAGGCUAGAGUACGGAAGAGGCGAGUGGAAUUCCUGGUGUAGCGGUGGAAUGCGCAGAUAUCAGGAGGAACACCAAUAGCGAAGGCAGCUCGCUGGGACGGUAUUGACGCUAAGGCGCGAAAGCGUGGGGAGCAAACAGG
rnacentral:rRNA from 1 species